rnacentral:ncRNA from 15 species
GGCCUAUUAUCUCAGUUGGUUAGAGUCGUGCUAAUAACGUGAAAGUUAUAGGUUCGAGAUCUGCAUGGGUCA